CCUACGGGGGGCUGCAGUGAGGAAUAUUGGUCAAUGGCCGGAAGGCUGAACCAGCCAUGCCGCGUGAAGGUCAGUGCCCUAUGGGCGUUAAACUUCUUUUGUGCGGGAGCAAUAAUGGUCACGUGUGGCCAGACGAGAGUACCGUACGAAUAAGCAUCGGCUAACUCCGUUCCAGCAGCCGCGGUAAUACGGGGGAUGCAGGCGUUAUCCGGAUUUUUUGGGUUUAAAGGGUGCGUAGGCUGUGAGGUAAGUCCACGGGUAAAUGCCCCCGCUCAACGGGGUGAAGUGCCAUUGAUACUGGCUUGCUGGAAUGCGGAUGCCGUGGGAGGAAUGUGUGGUGUAGCGGUGAAAUGCAUAGAUAUCACACAGAACACCGAUUGCGAAGGCAUCUCACGAAUCCGCGAUUGACGCUGAUGCACGAAAGCGUGGGUAUCAAACAGGAUUAGAUACCCUAGUAGUC
rnacentral:rRNA from 1 species